UUCUGUGAAUGGCCUAAGCGCGUAACUUUAGCGUAGUAAGUCUAAUUGUAAGUACAUACGUGUAGUAUGGGAGUUGGUCUACUUGUGUUUUGUAAAUACGCAACUAACUAUAGUAGUUUAGACAUAAAGUUCAAAGUUGCAUCAUAUUCAAAGUAUUUUUCGUCCUGCCUGACUGCCUGUUGUGCGAUUACACCUGUGAAUUUCCUGGAUAAGUAUUUCGUUAUAUUAUAUUAGAGUUAGAGAAUAUUACUGUUAGUUCAAUCAAGUUCUUCAGAUUGUGAUCCAGUAAAAUCAAAUACCUACCAAUAGUAUCGAUCAGCAAUCGCUUAAGAAUGGGAGUCAUCGAAGUACUAUGUGAAUUAGGAACCACAGCACUAUGUGGAUUGGGAACCACAGUACUAUGUGGAUUGGGCGCCAUAAAUGCAGUACUAUUAAGAUUCGUGAAUUACGGCCACCUCUUGGAAUCUCCCUAUACACUCACCUACAAGCAGAUGAAUCCAGAUGACGGAACAGAAGAAACAAUUACAGAAACCGGCCAUAUAUCGCACGUACUAAUUGUACUGCUUACGCCUAUACUGUUCAUACUUGUACUAGACCUAGCACGGCGAAUACGGCGAUACUUCAACUACCCUGCACUAGGCAUACUCCUAUGUGCACUGGUCCCAUCAUAUAUAUACUAUGGGCCAAUUUUACGAAUCUCGUUCAAUUUCUGAUCUAACAAUAAGUUUAACUCAUUGUUUUUGUUUUUGACGAGUUACCUAAUAAACUCAGUUCAACAUCUUGACUGAGAAUUGUACAAUCAACCCUUCGUCAACCUUUUUUACAACUAAAAGUAACCGUAAUCAACCUCUUGAUCGUCAUUGUUGUUUUUAUCUUGAGAUUUCGUUUUUCCUUAUUUUUACCAUUUUUUUUUCUUUUCUGGACACAACCUUCAUGUGAUACAAAUAAAAAGUAUGAAACGUUAA